AUCCUUUUGCAGCUCAUAAGCAUGAUUGGGUUUUCAUGCUCUUGUGAGAGGUGUCUCCCUAAAGCAUUGUUACAACGUCAGCACAUUACCCAUCUGAUG